rnacentral:rRNA from 1 species
UACGUAGGGUGCGAGCGUUGUCCGGAAUUAUUGGGCGUAAAGGGCUCGUAGGCGGUUUGUCGCGUCGGGAGUGAAAUCCACUGGCUUAACUGGUGGCUUGCUUUCGAUACGGGCAGACUGGAGGUAUGCAGGGGAGAACGGAAUUCCUGGUGUAGCGGUGAAAUGCGUAGAUAUCGAGAGGAACACCUGCGGCGAAGGCGGGUUGCUGGGCUGAUACUGACGCUGAGGCGCGAAAGCCAGGGGAGCGAACGGG